GUUAAAUUUGAAGUUGCUGGCCUAAAAAUGCUAAUAACCAUUACCUCUUACUUGUAGAUAACUUCAGAGAAAGUUAUUAACAGAAUAUUGCAAUUUAAAUAUAGAUGUAUGUAUGUAGAAAGUACUUUAAUAUAUGUGUGUAUUUAAAAUUAUGAUAAUUUUUAUUUUAUAAUUGAAAUUAAAAAAAUUUCAUCUAUUGUAAAAUAUAUUAAUUAUCAUCAAAAAUCGAAUAGGGUAUACAUUGAGCAGCAUUGAAUCAUAAUGAGUAAAUAAAAAUACACAAGCAACAAAUAAUAAUUUAACUUAACAAAAAAAUACAACCGAAUGCAAUAGAAAAGCAAAAGCAAUAGAACAGUAAAUGUGGAACGUGAGAGAAGCAACGGCAAAUCAGAGGUCAACGACACUAAAUAAAGUUUUGUCAAUUUUAAUGCAGGACGUAAGCUGGACUUUUUGGGAAAACAGAGAAUCUGCUAAAUUAGUCAACUAAUUAAAAUUGAUGGUGAUAGUCGGCGAUACGCAUAUUUCAUUUAUUAAAUACAAAUUGUAACGAAAAAAUAAUAAUAUUAUAAUUAAAAUAAAAUUAAUAAAACUUAGUUAAAUAAAUGAAAAUAAAUGUUAUUUGAAAUAUGUGAUUUUUGGAAUGGCAAUUUUGAGUAUUACAUCAAGUCGGUAUAUAUGUAAGGCCUAAAUAGCGUUGAAGAAUACGACGAUUUAUGUAGUUGCUCGAACAAAAUCGAAAACGCAAAUGAACAACAGCUCAAAUAAUAUUUUCUCCGAUUAAAAGCAUUUUUCAAAGUAUAGACUUCUCUUUAAACAAAAUAUUGUUGGCAUAUCUCCAGUCUGUCAACAAGUGGAUUUUCCAAAGUACAAAGCUGCUAAAAUUUUCCACGCCUGCGGUUCUCGGAAACAAUAAACCUCAAAACAAAAGGCCUAGAACAAACAGCUAUAUUAGAUAAAGGUAAAGUAGAUAUCACCUUUAUCUAACACAUGAAUAGCUAAAAACCCCGCUCACGCUAAGACACGACCGCUGUUACGCCGUGUACUAAAAUAAUAAUACGUGUAUUUGAGCAUGUUGAAGGUCAUGUGACAGGAUUUCAGCACAACAACGCGGCAAUUGUUCGUUGGCUGCGACGCGACCGGCUUUUGGCGAGACGAAUUUCAAACGCGAUCCUUUUUAGACCUUUUCAAACUAAGUAACAGACUAAGCAAAG